AAAAUCCCAUCGUUCCCACUCACAAACCAACCCAACACCCGGCGGUCCACUAUCCAGAUCCAGAUUCUCUAUCCUGACCCUGCUCCUGCGAUCCCCAACCGACCCUGCUCCUGCGAUCCCCAACCGACCCUGCUCCUGCGAUCCCCAACCCCAAUCCAAGGACCAGACCAAGAGCAACAGGGAGACCAUGAGCGCCAUGGUCGCGUCGUCGCUUAACCCGGAGGCCCCGCUCUUCAUCCCGGCAGCGUUCCAGCAGGUGGAGGACUUCUCACCGCAGUGGUGGGACCUCGUCAAGUCCACCGCCUGGUUUGGCGACCACUGGUACCACCAGCACCAGCAGCUCGACGAUAUGGCCGACUCCCUCAUGGCCUUGGAGGCCGAGGACGCCAUCGCCGUCGAGGCUUCGCAGCCGCAGCCGCCAGCGGCACUCAAGAUUGACGGGGUGCUCAAGGCGCUGAGCCUGGCGUCCCCAAGCCCAAAGGGUGGCUUCUCGGAGAAGCCUAGGUACACCGAGAAGCCCACCAAGUAUGCCGGCAGCCCGAGGAGCGGUGGCGCACCGCGCUUCAUCCACCAGCCUCGCUAGGUUGGGAUGUCAAGCUUCAAGAAUCGAGCAAAUCCUGCGCCUGCAGUGAUGCAUUGCUCUGGCUGCCGCCGCCGUCUCAUCUUUCAAGUCUUCUUCUACUAGUAACACUACCAAGAUCAGAGCGAGCAGCGCUUGCCGUCGGCCGCAUGCAGCACGGUCGGUGUCGUGGUGGAGCUGCAAUGAAACAUCGUCGGAGGUCGCCGCUGCUGUAAUGGAGCAUCACUUGGCUGAUGGUGCCGUGGUGGAGCUGCAAUGAAACAUCACUGGGGAUCGUCGCUGCUACGGUGGAGCGUCGCCGGACCGUCGAUCCGUGGUGCUGUGAUGAAGCAUUGUUGAACCGCCGACGUCGGCGGUGCUUCAUUGCAACCUCGCCGGAGCUUCCAACGACCGCCGCGACGCUUCACUGCAACCUCGCCGGAGCUCCAACAAUCGUCGUGGCGCUUCAUUGCAACCUCGCCGGAGCUUCAUUGCAACCUCAGCCGUGCUCCAUGGUAGCACCCCGACAGCCGCCGGUGAAGCUUCAUUGCAGCGUCACCACCACCACGCGGCCGUGCUCCAUCGCAGCACCGCUGCCCGCCUGCCCCGUCAAAGCUCCACCGCAGCACCAGACUGGUGCCGGCGAAGCUUCACUGCAGCGCAACGCGAUGGCGUCGAGGUGCUGCGGCGAAUCAGGCGACCGCGAUGCUGCGAUGCAGACGCGGUGGCGACAGAGCUCUCGAGGCCCGAUGUUGUGAUGCUCCUCUCCUCAACCUCCCCACUGCAGCAUGUGCGGCGAGUGGUGACCCGCCUCCAACACCAUCGUCUUCUGCAGCUCCGGUGGCCACACCGUACCGUCGCCCCCCUUUGGAGCAGCGAUGCCCCGCGAUGGAUCUCUCACAUGGGUCCUAGAAUUUGUGUUGGAGCUUCGCCGAAGGGAGAGAAGGUGAGCAGGAAGGUUGUUGACGCCGGCGGCAUGGCUCCGGCGGUGGGUUGGACGGGAUUGAGGGGUGAAGAGAGAGAGGGAGGAGAUGGAACAGAGAAGAGAUGGGGAUGAAGAGAAGCGCUCCAGGAAUGACCAGAUCCUUCGGCAAAGAGAUAAGGUGGAGGACGCGUGGGCAUGUGGGCCUGUGGGACACGUGGCGUGCUGUGAAGGAGGUUUACGAGAGAUAGAAAUCAUUCGGUUGAUUGUAAACGUUUUCCGGAAAAAAAAUCUACCGAAAACAUCGCGCACCAAACCGACGCAAAAACAGUGAAGAACACACGUCCUCCACCUUCUCCCGGACCCAAUCUGCAUCUCUUUCCCAAUCCCGAACUACCUGGCAUCCGUCCUCGCUCGCACCCCCGCAUGGAGGGCUCACCCCGCCCCGCCGAAGGCCUCGUGCACGGCGGACACCUUGGCGAUCGAGCUUGCGGGGGCGGCGCCUCGGGGACGGCCCGGUCAUGCGCGGCAACGGCGCCGGCGGCGGGGGGUAGCGGGCCACGCAGCAAUCCAUCUGGUGGAGAAAAAUUCACUGGACAUGACCAUUGCAGGAAAGUCAUGGGUGUUCGGAACACAAAGAAGUUCUAAAUAUUGCAAGUUGAAGUUUUAUCUAUGGUGCUCGGUAUUUUCGUUUUCAAUUAACACUCUACGAAUGAUAUUUGAUGCUUAUUUAAAUAACUGACAUGUAUGUACUAUGACAUUCCCUUA